UCCGUAGGCGGGCAGCUAAGUCAGUGGUGAAAGUCUGCAGCUCAACUGUAGAAUUGCCAUUGAUACUGGUUGUCUUGAAUUAUUAUGAAGUGGUUAGAAUAUGUAGUGUAGCGGUGAAGUGCAUAGAUAUUACAUAGAAUACCAAUUGCGAAGGCAGAUCACUAAUAAUAUAUUGACGCUGAUGGACGAAAGCGUGGGGAGCGAACAGGAUUAGAUACCCUGGUAGUCC
rnacentral:rRNA from 1 species